ensembl:snRNA U6 U6 spliceosomal RNA
UGCUUGCUUUGGCAGCAGUAUACUAGAAUUGGAAUGAUACAGAGAAGAUUAACGUGGCCCUGCACAAAGAUGACAUGCAAAUUCAUGAAGCGUUUCAUAUUUAU